rnacentral:lncRNA from 1 species
CCCUACUUACAUACUUUACUACAAUUGUCAAAAAGAGGGUUUAAUUUGUGUGCUUAUAUAUUUCGCAUCAAAUUUUGGCGCCGUUGCCGGGGAUUAGCAAACUUUGCUAAUCCCUUGGUUCUUUUCUUUUUGUUUAGUUUGUUUUUGUUUUAGUUUCUGACUUAGUUUUGUUUUCCUUGUUUUGUGUUACUUUUGAUAUUUGAUUUAUUUUUCUUUCUUUGAUUUUAGGUACAAAUGGAGCGAGACAUGGCA